rnacentral:rRNA from 1 species
UACGUAGGGCGCAAGCGUUGUCCGGAAUUAUUGGGCGUAAAGAGCUCGUAGGCGGCCUGUUGCGUCCGCUGUGAAAUCCCGGGGCUCAACCCCGGGCGUGCAGUGGAUACGGGCUGGCUGGAGGCAGGCAGGGGAGAACGGAAUUCCUGGUGUAGCGGUGAAAUGCGUAGAUAUCAGGAGGAACACCUGUGGCGAAAGCGGCGCACUGGACCACAACUGACGCUGAGGCGCGAAAGCUAGGGGAGCAAACAGG